rnacentral:rRNA from 1 species
CAAUAGCGUAUAUUAAAGUUGUUGCAGUUAAAAAGCUCGUAGUUGGAUUUCUGGUGGGAGCGAUCGGUCUGGCGCUUAGCGCGAGUACUUGCAUCGUCUCCGGCCAUCCUUGGGGAGAGUCUGUCUGGCAUUAAGUUGUCGGGCAGAGGAUCCUCAUCGUUUACUGUGAAAAAAUUAGAGUGUUCAAAGCAGGCUUAUGCCGUUGAAUAUAUUAGCAUGGAAUAAUAAGAUAGGACUUUGGUACUAUUUUGUUGGUUUGCGGACCAAAGUAAUGAUUAAUAGGGACAGUUGGGGGUAUUCGUAUUCCGUUGUCAGAGGUGAAAUUCUUGGAUUUACGGAAGACGAACUACUGCGAAAGCAUUUACCAAGGAUGUUUUCAUUAA